ACUAAAUUGGCAGAUAAAGUGCACUGAAUUUAGGAUUCAGAUAUAAAAUUAUAUUUUAUUUAGUA
rnacentral:tRNA from 1 species